rnacentral:rRNA from 1 species
AUUGAACGCUGGCGGCAGGCCUAACACAUGCAAGUCGAGCGGAGCGGCGGACGGGUAAGUAAUGCCUAGGAAUCUGCCUGGUAGCGGUGGCUAACGUCCGGAAACGGGAGCUAAUACCGCAUACUCUCAGAUGAGCCUAGGUCGGAUUAGCUAGUUGGUGGGGGAAAGGCCUACCAAGGCGACGAUCCGUAACUGGUCUGAGAGGGUGAUCGGCCACACUGGGACUGAGACACGGCCCAGACUCCUACGGGAGGCAGCAGUGGGGAAUUUUCGGCAAUGGGCGAAAGUCUGACCGAGCCAUGCCGCGUGAGUGAAGAAGGUUUUCGGAUCGUAAAGCUCUGUUGUUAGAGAAGCGGUAUCUACACAGAAAGCCACGGCUAACUACGUGCCAGCAGCCGCGGUAAUUC